rnacentral:rRNA from 1 species
CGGCGGACGGGUGAGUAAUGCUUGGGAAUAUGCCUUAUGGUGGGGGACAACAGUUGGAAACGACUGCUAAUACCGCAUAAUGUCUACGGACCAAAGGGGGGGAUCUUCGGACCUCCCGCCAUUUGAUUAGCCCAAGUGAGAUUAGCUAGUUGGUAAGGUAAUGGCUUACCAGGGCGACGAUCUCUAGCUGGUUUGAGAGGAUGAUCAGCCACACUGGGACUGAGACACGGCCCAG